rnacentral:rRNA from 1 species
CCUACGGGAGGCAGCAGUGAGGAAUAUUGGUCAAUGGACGAGAGUCUGAACCAGCCAAGUAGCGUGAAGGAUGACUGCCCUAUGGGUUGUAAGCUUCUUUUAUAUGGGAAUAAAAUGUUCCACGUGUGGGAUUUUGUAUGUACCAUAUGAAUAAGGAUCGGCUAACUCCGUGCCAGAAGCCGCGGGAAUACGGAGGAUCCGAGCGUUAACCGGAUUGAUUGGGUUUAAAGGGAGCGUAGGUGGGUUGUUAAGUCAGUUGUGAAAGUUUGGGGCUCAACCGUAAAAUUGCAGUUGAAACUGGCAGUCUAGAGUACAGUAGAGGUGGGCGGAAUUCGAGGUGUAGCGGUGAAAUGCUUAGAUAUCACGAAGAACACCGAUUGCGAAGGCAGCUCACUGGACUGAAACUGACACUGAGGCUCGAAAGUGUGGGUAUCAAACAGGAUUAGAUACCCGGGUAGUC